rnacentral:rRNA from 1 species
ACUACGGGAGGCAGCAGUGAGGAAUAUUGGUCAAUGGGCGCGAGCCUGAACCAGCCAAGUAGCGUGAAGGAUGAUUGCCCUACGGGUUGUAAACUUCUUUUAUAAAGGAAUAAAGUGAGGCACGUGUGCCUUUUUGUAUGUACCUUAUGAAUAAGCAUCGGCUAACUCCGUGCCAGCAGCCGCGGUAAUACGGAGGAUGCGAGCGUUAUCCGGAUUUAUUGGGUUUAAAGGGUGAGUAGGGUGUUUUUUAAGUCAGCGGUGAAAGUUUGUGGCUCAACCAUAAAAUUGCCGUUGAAACUGGCAGUCUUGAGUAUGUUUGAGGUAGGCGGAAUGCGUGGUGUAGCGGUGAAAUGCAUAGAUAUCACGCAGAACUCCGAUUGCGAAGGCAGCUUACUAAGCCAUAACUGACACUGAAGCACGAAAGCGUGGGGAUCAAACAGGAUUAGAUACCCGUGUAGUC